GUAAAAGCUGUGAGUGGAAGAGUAAUAUUCGAGGAAGUACCAGAGAAGAGUUGUCAUUGGCUGAAAGCAGCUCUAACAGAGGCGAAUAUGAAGUGCAUCCAGGAGCUGAUCUUGUGAAUGGAGUAGCAAGGUACGGUUUGCAUCCGUUAUAUGCCAGAGGGAAGGUCAUGGACCUUUAUUAGAGUGGAACCGCGGAUAAAUUCGUCUCUUAA
rnacentral:ncRNA from 1 species